GGCGGUCACCUCAUCCCCGCCGGAACUGACAUGAUGGUAAGUUUCUACGCGACGUCCAGGGCAGAGCAAAAUGUAAGAGAUCCGACAAAGUUUUCGCCAGAACGAUUCCACAUCGACAGCUCAGAGAAGUUUAGUAAAUACGCCUCCACACCCUUCUCAGCUGGGCCUCAUACAUGUAUAGGGAAAAAGUUUGCCGAGGUA